UACAGAUUUAAAGGCACGGCAGCGUAAAAGGUAUAAAACAUAAAAUCAGAUUUAGUUUCCAUGGGUAACUCGUUCCAAAGUUUAAGGCCCUGGUUUACUUCCGCAGACGUGCUGAAGUAUCGCAGACUCUGGUAUACUCACGUGUCAGAGUUCUGUAGUAUCUGCCUUCACCAUCGGGUGGCGGUACAAGUCUGCAGCUCUGCAGCCUAAUACUCCACCUACCGGUGCAUGCGUUGUCCAAAAUCUGUGCGUCGAUUACGCAAAUCAUGUCAUGUGCAUACGGAAGUAUACCAGGGUCUAGCCAGAUCGACCCGGGUUUUCAGUCGAGAUUUUGGCACUAAAAUCUAAAAGCAAACCUGUUAUUAGACCUCAGAGCAAGGAAAAAGAAGAUCCGAGAGGUAUGAUGGCACCAAACCGUUAAGAGCUUUAAAAACCAACAAUUACAUUUUAAAAUCAAUCCUAAAACAGUGGAGAGGGCGCAACACAGGUGUGACGUGGUCUCUCUUCUUUUUUCCUGUUAAAAGGCAAAGCGGGAAUCGCCGGACAGAUGACAGAGUUACAAUAAUCCAGCCGAGAUGUUCUAAAAGCAUGGAUCAGUGUCUCUAAGACCUUGCGAAGGAGAUAGGCCUUCACCUUGGCGAUGAGCCGUAGUUGAAAAAGCUUGACUUAAUGAUGGACGAGAUUUGUUUGUUUGUAAGCCAAGAAAGAAAAGGCCAGAGGAAACCACUGCGAAAAGAAGAGAACGGUACGAGUCGCGGGGAAUAUGCCAUGAGCAUCCGUAACAAGAAGGCCAUGGGAACAAACAACACUGUGGUAUAGACUUGUUUUCAGGUAGAUGCAGAACGUGACAUCACACAACGGCCAUCUCUCACCUUACCCCAAAUACCUUCUCACACCCAGAAUGCAACGGGGGUUUGUUUCUUUUCAACCCAAGGUAUUCAGGUACCUUCCUUCUUUGUUUGGCAUGUGGCCGGGGACUAAAGACACCUUUCAGCUCAAGAGGAGCUGUAAAAGACGGAAGGGGGGGAGGGAGGGGAGGCUGAAAGGACGGAGAGAAAGAGCUACGCACCCUCGCGGUGUCCGGAGUGGCACAGCGGGCUGAACAUUAUGCUCUGAGUAACAGCAAGUGUUGCUGACAGGCUGGUUGGCUGCUGGCUGGAGAGGGACUGUCUGCCAGUCUGCCGCAGAUCCAGACCUCGCACACUGUUGACAUCUGCAAUGGAGCAACAGACAAUACUGCAGCUCUGCUGUCACAUGGGGGGCCCGACAGGACAGCACCUCACACACACACACACACACACACACAGAAACACAUACACUAAAUAAUGUGCAUGCAGUUUUUAAACAGAGAAUGCAACAUUUUUUUAUAUUCCAAUCCUCGCACUGUUCCAUCUUUUUGUUCUCCAUCUCUGACGCCGAUGUCGUGCGAGAGGCAUGACGUUACUGUCGCUCCCUGAUCCAAGAUGUGGAUUCAUCUGACUAUGCAAUUUAAUGAAAUCCAUAUUUAGAAAAAGGAAAAAAAAGAAAAAGGGAUCAAAAGGAGCAACAACUUCUAAUGGGACAUUCUGGUUAUUUUUUACCAUGCCAAAAAUAUCCACUCAAGACUCAUUGUAAUACACGUCAGUUGUCCGUCUAUUUAUUUCUGCUCUACUUUAUUUCCUAAUCUUCUACAUUUGAAUUUUAUUUUUCUACUUAAAACGGAAUAAAACUGUCUCGUAAGUUA